rnacentral:lncRNA from 1 species
UAUCUACCCAUCUAUUUACUAUCUACCUAUCUAUUUACUAUCUAUUUUUUUCUAUUUGUUUUUUUUGUUUUUCAGAUAUGUUCCAUACUAAACGAAAUAAGCAAAACCAUCCGAGAAAUACAAAAUGCGAAAAACUUUCUAUCGUUGCACUUUUUUCUUUUAAAGGAUGAGGAUGAUGCAGUAAGUAUACACAUACGUCCAUACAUACGUCCAUUCAUACGUCCAUUCAUACGUCCAUUCAUACGUCCAUUCAUACGUCCAUACAUAUGCGAACAUACUUAUUGUGCAUUCCUUUCCUUACUCUUGUAUAGCUUUUUUCAGUCAUGCACAUAAUCGAUUUUUUUAAAAGCAAGAAUAAAUUGGUAGAAACGUUACAAAAUAUAAAAGGUAAAAUAUCAUAAAAAAAAAAAAAAAAAAAACAUACUAUUUUUUUUUCCUACAUACCUGUAUACACUACUGUAUAAUGCAACAAGCAGUCUAUUAAUGUUUUAUUUUUAUUUUUUUAUUUUUAUUUUUAUUUUUUUUUUAUUUUUCCCACCACCGAAUAGACAAAAUUUAUGAAGAAUGUAUUAACGAUAUCAUUAGAAAGAAAAUUGACAACUAUAUUUUAUUUUGCAAACAAAAAAAACAAAAAUAUGAAGUUAAAAAUGUUUUAAAGUUUUUGAAUAUAAACAACUUAACAGAUGAUUUAUAUUUUAAUUAUAAUUAUAACGACUUAAUAAAAGUUUUCAAAAAAAAAGUGGAAGAGAUAAAGAAUGAUAAAAUGGGUACUUCUAUUAUUUCUAGUUCCUUAUUGUCAAGUAACAUGGAUACAUCACUUUUUAACAAAAUGGAAGAAUCGAUGGAUGUUAAUAAAAAUGAUUAUACAGGUACUAAUACUGGAGAUGGUACUAUUAUUGGCUCAGAUGCUAAUACCAGUGCUGGUGCCGAUAUCGAUGCUGACGAAAUAGACAUAGAUAAUAAUGACAAUUUAAAAGAAUUAAAAAAAACAUAUAAAGAGUUACAAAAUUUCAAUGAAUAUAUUAUUCAAUUUAUUGAAUAUGAACCAAAAUUAUAUUAUUUUAAUGAUAAUAAUAAUAAUGAUAAUAAUGAUACUUAUAUAAAAAGUAACACAGAUAUAAAAUAUGAGAAAAAUAUAAUCGAACAACAAGAAAAAGAACAAAAACAAAAGAAAAUGUAUAAUGAAGAAGUUAUAGCUAUGCGAAAGGAUAUUGAUAAAUAUAUAGAAAAAUAUAAAAGUAAACAUUCAAAUUUAGACGAACUUAAAAAUGAAUUUAUAGAUCAAGCAGAUAAGAAUUUUAAUAAAUUUUUGAAUAGUUUUUCACUUAGUGAAAAUAUAAAUGAGCAAAGAGAUAAAAAUGAAAUAAAUAUAACAAAUAAAUUAAACAAAAUAGACAAUAAUACGGUUACACAAAAAGAAGAGAAAAAUAUAAUGUCACAUUCUAAUGAAAUAAACAAAUUCCAAUUAAAAAAAUUAAAUACAAGUGAAGAAGAUUUAGAAAUAACUAGUGAUAUAAUUUAUGAACGGUUAAGAAAAAAAUUGUUAUAUUUUAUUCAAAAGAUGGAGUAUAUAAAAUUUAAGUACCAAAAUGACAUAAUAAAUGAAAUGUACCCAUUAAAUAAAAGUGAAAAAACAGUUUUAGACUUGUUAAAAUAUGGGUAUAAAACUGUUGUUUCACCAGAUGUUGAUAACUCCAUAUUCCAAAAAUAUAAUGAAAACGAUCGUGAUGCUGAUCAUGGUACUGGUCAUGGCACUGAUCAUGGCACUGAUCAUGGUACUGGUCAUGGCACUGAUCAUGGCACUGAUCAUGGCACUGAUCAUGGUACUGAUCGCUAUGAGCACAUGCACGAAAAAAAUAAAAUAACAAACGUUUCUAGUUAUACCAGAAAAAAAUAUUUUGACUUCAAGUGUCUAAAGUGUGAUUAUCACAUUUUUAAUUCAGGUGAUGAUUUGUAUGAACAGAUGAAGGAAUGUCCCCAGUGUAAAAGUCAAAUUUCACGUGACUAGUUUGUCCUGCUUAUUUACUCCUUUCCUUACAUUUGCCCUUUUUUGCUUCGUUUUUUUUUUUUUACUUCGUUUUUUUUUUUUUGCUUCGUUUUUUUUUUUUUGCUUCGUUUUUUUUUUUUUACUUCGUUUUUUUUUUUUUUGUUUCGUUUUUUUUUUUUUGUUUCGCUUUUUUUUUUUUUUUGUUUCGCUUUUUUUUUGGGCACAAUUCUUAUUUAAUUUACAAUUUCACUUUUGAAUAACAAAAACUGAAUGUCGUCAUAAAUGGCGAACGUACCAGAUACAUGUAUACGUGUACAUCCCAACCAUCCAAUAAAUCCAUAAAAACAACUUACCCGACUUGUUAA